rnacentral:rRNA from 1 species
CCUACGGGAGGCAGCAGUAGGGAAUCUUCCACAAUGGACGCAAGUCUGAUGGAGCAACGCCGCGUGAGUGAAGAAGGUUUUCGGAUCGUAAAGCUCUGUUGUUGGUGAAGAAGGAUAGAGGUAGUAACUGGCCUUUAUUUGACGGUAAUCAACCAGAAAGUCACGGCUAACUACGUGCCAGCAGCCGCGGUAAUACGUAGGUGGCAAGCGUUGUCCGGAUUUAUUGGGCGUAAAGCGAGCGCAGGCGGAAGAAUAAGUCUGAUGUGAAAGCCCUCGGCUUAACCGAGGAACUGCAUCGGAAACUGUUUUUCUUGAGUGCAGAAGAGGAGAGUGGAACUCCAUGUGUAGCGGUGGAAUGCGUAGAUAUAUGGAAGAACACCAGUGGCGAAGGCGGCUCUCUGGUCUGCAACUGACGCUGAGGCUCGAAAGCAUGGGUAGCGAACAGGAUUAGAUACCCUGGUAGUC